ensembl:snRNA U6 U6 spliceosomal RNA
GUGCUCACCUCAGCAGCACAUAUACUAAAAUUAGAACAACACAGAGAAGUUAGCAUGGCUCCUGCAAAAGGAUAACACGCAAAUUUGUGAAGCAUUCCACAUUUUU